rnacentral:lncRNA from 1 species
AGCUGGGAAGCCAGGAGGUGUGCUCCGCUUUCGUGCUACCGGCAUGCUGGCAUGAGCUAGCUGUCUUGAAAUGAAAACAGACACUCAAAGAUGGGCUGUGGGAUCCCAGAGAGGUGGCAGAAUGGUCAAAGCUAUGAAGCCAACAGCUGCUGCCAAGAAGAAAUUCCUGAGCCCUGAGUGAUUGUAAUUUAAAAAACUUAAUGCUGGCAGUGGGUGUUUAUUUUGGAGGAGUGGGCUGCUUAUUUUUGGUUUGGGGACUUGUUCAUUCAUCUUUUCUCAGCGGCGCCUACUGCUGCCCUGGCCCGAAGUUAAAGCUCAAUAAAUCACUGUUGCACAACUGA